rnacentral:tRNA from 1 species
UAGGAUAUGGCUGAGUUAGUCAAGCAUCUCACUUACACCGAGAAGAUAUUCAUGCAAAUUGGAUUAUCCUGA